UACGGAGGGGGCUAGCGUUGUUCGGAAUUACUGGGCGUAAAGCGUGCGCAGGCGGUUAUUUAAGUCAGGUGUGAAAGCCCUGGGCUUAACCUAGGAAUUGCGCUUGAGACUGGAUAGCUUGGAGUGCGGCAGAGGGAGGUGGAAUUCCACGUGUAGCAGUGAAAUGCGUAGAGAUGUGGAGGAACACCGAUGGCGAAGGCAGCCCCCUGGGCUGAGAUUGACGCUCAGGCACGAAAGCGUGGGGAGCAAACAGG
rnacentral:rRNA from 1 species